UCGAAUUCUUGACCGCAGAUGAUCCACCCGCCUUGGCCUCCCAAAGUGCUGGGAUUACAGAUGUGAGCCACCGCUCCUGGCCAUCAUUGUGGUUUCCUUGCAAUUUCUCUGAUAACUAAUAUUGUUAGGCACCAUUUCAUGUGCAUAUUGCUCAUUGUGUUUUAUAAUUAGAGAUUCAGUGGGUACAUGUGCAGGUUUCUUAUAUGUGUAUACUGUGUAAUGCUAUGGUUUGGGCUUCCAGUGAACCCAUCAUCCAAAAAGAGAACACGGUGAUUUGUGGGUUUUCUAGAGGUACUCUUGAUAUGGUUUGGCUGUGUCCACACCCAAAUCUCAUCUUGACUAGUAGCCCCCAUAAUUCCCUCAUGUUGUGGAAGGCACCCAGUGGGAGAUAAUUGAAUCAUAGGGGUAGUUUCCCCCAUACUGUUCUCAUGGUAGUGAAUAAGUAUCAAGAGAUCUGAUGGUUCUAUAAGAGGAAACCCCCUUCACUUGGCUCUUAUUCUCUCUUGUCUGCCACCAUGUAAGAAGUGCCUUUCACCUUCCACCUUCUGCCAUGAUUGUGAGGCACCCUCAGCCAUGUGGAACUGUGAGUUCAUGAAACCUCUUUUUGUUAAUAAAUUACCCAGUCUCAGUUGUGUCUUUAUCAGCAGCGUGAAAACGGACUAAUACAACUUUUCCAGGUUGAGGAAGCUCUUUACUGUUCUUACUUUUUUUGAAAGUUUUAAUCAUGAAAGUGUGCUCAAUUUUUACAAACAUUUCAUUUUUUCUCUUAAGAUGGCAAUUUGAUUUUGUCCUUCAUUCUAUUGAUAUGAUAUGUUACAUUGAUUGAUAUUUAACUGUAAAACCAAAUAUAUACCAAUAUAUAAUAAUAUUUAUUCUCUAAACAAGUGGGCAGGGAUAAAAUCAGCUUUAAAAUAACAGAUUCUUCUUAUUAUGAAAUUUAAAGUCUCAGAAGUAUGGGGUAUGAUUAUUCUGUUAUGCAGGGUGUAAUGUAACAAAUUUCCAAAGAAACUAUGAAUCAUUAGAGAUAGGAGAGAUCAUCUGGCUAAGGCUGAUGUAAUCAGGGAAAUUUUGGUGAAAAAAAUAACAACUAAGAUGGAGUUUAUACAUAGUGUUGCAUAAGUUAGGGAGAGGUAAGACUGGAAAGUAGAUUGGAGUAAAAUCUUAAAAUUUUUCACAUCUAAGCUGAAAACAUUUUGUGUAUUGGACAAUAAGCAGUUGUGAAGGUCUCAGAGUAAAAGCUAGGUAUAAUCAGAGUUGUAAGAAACAAAAGUCAACCUGACUUCUGUGAGAGAUACAGAAAACUAAUGAGAAGAAAGGGCCAGUUAAGAGACCACCAAGACAGUGGACGUCCAGCCAAGAAUAAAUAAGAAGGCAAUCACCAGGGAGAACAUCAGAUCAAUUUGAACGGAAGCUUUCUGUUGACUUUCAUCAGACUAUUGAAACGGAUAUAUGAUGUAGGACUCUGACAGAAGAAAGAUGGCAGCAGUUACUCUGAAC
rnacentral:lncRNA from 1 species